AUUGAACGCUGGCGGCAGGCCUAACACAUGCAAGUCGAACGGUAACAGGAAACAGCUUGCUGUUUCGCUGACGAGUAGCGGACGGGUGAGUAAUGUCUGGGAAACUGCCUGAUGGAGGGGGAUAACUACUGGAAACGGUAGCUAAUACCGCAUAACGUCGCAAGACCAAAGAGGGGGACCUUCGGGCCUCUUGCCAUCGGAUGUGCCCAGAUGGGAUUAGCUAGUAGGUGGGGUAACGGCUCACCUAGGCGACGAUCCCUAGCUGGUCUGAGAGGAUGACCAGCCACACUGGAACUGAGACACGGUCCAGACUCCUACGGGAGGCAGCAGUGGGGAAUAUUGCACAAUGGGCGCAAGCCUGAUGCAGCCAUGCCGCGUGUAUGAAGAAGGCCUUCGGGUUGUAAAGUACUUUCAGCGGGGAGGAAGGGAGUAAAGUUAAUACCUUUACUCAUUGACGUUACCCGCAGAAGAAGCACCGGCUAACUCCGUG
rnacentral:rRNA from 1 species